UACGGGGGGGGCAAGCGUUGUUCGGAAUUACUGGGCGUAAAGGGCGCGUAGGCGGCCGGACAAGUGGAAGGGGAAAUCCCCGAGCUCAACUCGGGAACUGCCCUCCAAACUGUUUGGCUUGAGUCCGGGAGAGGUGAGUGGAAUUCCCAGUGUAGCGGUGAAAUGCGUAGAUAUUGGGAGGAACACCAGUGGCGAAGGCGGCUCACUGGACCGGAACUGACGCUGAGGCGCGAAAGCGUGGGGAGCAAACAGG
rnacentral:rRNA from 1 species